rnacentral:lncRNA from 1 species
GGACAUGCAAGGAGAAAAGCACUGGCCUGGAUCCAAAAGGAUAGUUAUGUAAAUGAAGUUCUGAGAAAACAUUCAGAAUUUUCUCAGGGGAAAAAAUGUAAUCACUCACAACUCUGGGAUGUAGUUCAUCUUCAGGGACUCCUGCCUCUACCACCUGUGGCAUCAUCAUGCUGACACUGAUGGGUGAGGGAAGGUAAAUGCCAAAGUAGAAGAUGGCUGAUUACUCUUUUCAGGAAAACAUUAACCAUGAAAGAACUGACCAUUCAUCCAGGGCAAUUGUUAUACUCAAGACAGCUGUCACUGAUGUAAUGGCAUUUCAAUACAAGCAACAGAAAGCUUGCUUUAUACAGAUUAUUGUUCCUUCAUAUAAAAAUAAAUUGUAAUUGCACAUCAGAAAGGACUGUUAAAGCUUGAUUACCCAAUAAAUAUUUCACAGAAAGGUCUUUCUCCAGUCCUUUGCUUUAGGAAUGUCCUAAUUUUUCAGUCAAUGAUGUCUCAACUGAUUGCACAAUUUGC